UACGUAGGGACCAAGCGUUGUUCGGAUUUACUGGGCGUAAAGGGCGCGUAGGCGGCUUGACAAGUCACUUGUGAAAUCUCCGGGCUUAACUCGGAACGGCCAAGUGAAACUGUCAUGCUAGAGUGCAGAAGGGGCAAUCGGAAUUCUUGGUGUAGCGGUGAAAUGCGUAGAUAUCAAGAGGAACACCUGAGGUGAAGACGGGUUGCUGGGCUGACACUGACGCUGAGGCGCGGAAAGCCAGGGGAGCAAACGGG
rnacentral:rRNA from 1 species